GCACAGCCGGCACAGGAAAACCACCCCCUGCUCCUCCUCCUGACCCUCCCAAGCUAUUCUUUGACAUCCGUAAAGAUGCCGUUAACCGUGGCGAGAGUCCUUCCCUGGGGACUCAGGCUUCGUUCCCAGAUGUGAGACCACCUGUGCUAGGCCCCCGGGUUACCUCUGAUCCCGAAAACCGGAAGAGCAAAGAAUCUUACCUUUUGCAGCCGAGUUAUCCAGCCAAGGAUUCCAGUCCUCUACUAAAUGAAGUUUCUUCUUCCCUUAUUGGAACUGAUUCCCAAGCCUUUCCAUCAGUUAGCAAGCCUUCAUCCGCCUAUCCCUCCACAACGAUUGUCAAUCCUACUAUUGUGCUCUUGCAACACAAUCGAGAACAGCAAAAACGACUCAGUAGCCUUUCAGAUCCUGUCUCAGAAAGAAGAGUGGGAGAGCAGGACUCAGCACCAACCCAGGAAAAACCCACCUCACCUGGCAAGGCUAUUGAAAAAAGAGCAAAGGAUGACAGUAGGCGGGUGGUGAAGAGCACUCAGGACUUAAGCGAUGUUUCCAUGGAUGAAGUGGGCAUCCCACUCCGG
rnacentral:lncRNA from 1 species